rnacentral:rRNA from 1 species
UACGUAGGGGGCAAGCGUUGUCCGGAUUUAUUGGGCGUAAAGAGCGUGUAGGCGGCCAAGCAGGUCCGCUGUGAAAACUCGAGGCUCAACCUCGACGACGUCGGUGGAAACCGUUUGGCUAGAGUCCGGAAGAGGAGAGUGGAAUUCCCGGUGAUAGCGGUGAAAUGCGUAGAUAUCGGGAGGAACACCUGUGGCGAAAGCGGCGCACUGGACCACAACUGACGCUGGAGGCGACGAA